rnacentral:lncRNA from 1 species
GCCUCAUAUUUAUAUUUACGGACCCUAAAUCCAAAAUCACCCGAACCCUUUUGUUUGAUUAAUGAGCGAUUUCUUUAGAGAAAACAAGAAGAAUUGCGGGUUUAGGGUUUCUCAAUUGCAGAGUACAAAACCACACACCAUACAUCGGAUGUUUCAGAUGUCUGAACUUAAAAACCCCUCUUCGAGUAUUUAGGGUUUUUCAAUCAACUUGAUGUAGGCGAGAAUCACCAGCAUGGAUUGCUUUCUUAAUAAUGGAAGUCAUUGUUGUUGUAGAUGUUUCUGAAGCGGAACCAAGUCAUCGAAAGCCCUUCCAUAUGAUACAUCUGGUCAAACUUUAUGGCAUUUGAGAAACCACAGGGGCCCCACCUCAGCUGGUUGGCAGAUUUUCUAACACCUUGAAGUUUAUCGUCGAAAAGAUUAUGCAAUAAUGCUAUGGCCCACAUAUUCGACAAACUUGUCUCGAAAUACAGUACUGGGGCAGUUACUGACUUACUGGAUAUGUCAUAUAGUUGUGAGAGAUGCUUUUGAAGCGGAAGAAUUUGCUGAGGUGGCAACGAAGCCACUGAAAGCCCUUCUGUAUGACACACCUGGUUGAAGUUUAUGGCAUUUGAGUACCCCAUAAGGGGUCCCAGCUGUUGGCAGAUUUUUUGACGUGUUGAAGUUUAUCUUCAAAGAGGUAAUAACUUCUCAUCUCAUGUUAUAACAAAGUACUAUAGUUGGCAAGUUUGACCUAUUUACUUUAGGAUCUAUUGAUUCGGGCAACGUUUGUCAAACAGGCCCAAACAAUUCUUUUUAACUUCGUAAAAUCUUAUAAAUCAUUUUUAAACAGGUUAGGAGAUGAUUGAUAUAGUAUAUGUGUUGUAAUAAUAUUGACCCUUGUUUAUAUAACAAUAGAGAUUCUGGACUGUAAAAUUACCUCUUUUUUACCUGAUUCUUGUUACCCGACUUGCCUGACGUGCCAAUUUUCCAUGUCUAUUAAAAUUGUUCCAUGACUUUCAUCGAACUCAUACAUAAGUCUUUGAACUUUAUUUUUAUAUGAAAAUUUAAAAAAAAAAACUAUACCUAUUUUUUAACAAAAUUUUUUAUUU